UGGGGUUUAGUUCAGUGGAAGAACACUUGCCUAGCCUGUAUGAGGCACUGGGUUCAAUUCUCAGCACCACAU
rnacentral:tRNA from 1 species